GACGAACCGAGCGAACGUUAUUCGGAAUCACUGGGCUUAAAGCGCGUGUAGGCGGAUCGUUAAGUGCCUUGUGAAAUCCUGCGGCUCAACCGCAGAACUGCUGGGCAUACUGGCGAUCUUGGGCCACUCAGGGGUCACUGGAACAAGCGGUGGAGCGGUGAAAUGCGUAGAUAUCGCGUGGAACGCCAAAGGUGAAGACAGGUGACUGGGGGUGUGCCGACGCUGAGACGCGAAAGCCAGGGGAGCAAACGGG
rnacentral:rRNA from 1 species